CUGCAGGAUAAGUUACAGUGCAACUUGUGUGGUGCUGCAUUGUCGUUCCCCCUGCAAACAGUAAAUUGUUUCCUUCUAUCCCUGUCUAUCUGUUUUCCCUUAUAGGCAGGGACGCUUGGGCUCAGACAU